GGGGCUAUAGCUCAGUGGGAGAGCGCCUGCUUUGCAAGCAGGAUGUCCUCGGUUCGAAUCCGAGUAGCUCCA
rnacentral:tRNA from 1 species